AUGGUUUGGAAGGCAUGGGCACCUUCAAAGGUUAAAUUUUUUGCGUGGUUGGCACUACAAGAUAGGAUUUGGACCGUCGAUCGUUUACAGCGACGAGGUUGGCCAAAUUGUGGCCUCUGCAAACUUUGCAAUAGGGAGCAAGAAACGGAUGCCCACAUUUUCUUCAAGUGCCGCUUUACAAUUCGGAUAUGGAAGUCUCUCAUUGAGAGGCUUGGUCUCGCGCACAUAGAUACAUCCGGGUGGCACACGGAUGAAUCCGUCUACGAAUGGUGGGACAAGAGAACCGACAAUCGCAAUCCCAACCGGCAAGCUUUGGCCUCUCUCACCAUGCUUGUCUCCUGGACCAUUUGAAAUGAAAGUAAUGCACGGGUGUUUCGUCACUGCCAUUGUCCACGAGGCCAAGCUUUGGGUGACCGCGGGCGAAAAGAAAUUAGGAGAUAUUUUUAUGGGCGAGUAAUUGCCAUGCCGUAUUUGUGGGUGUUGUAA
rnacentral:rRNA from 1 species